AUGUUCUUCAACGCCAAGAACGAACUCGUCGUAACCGCUUCAUAUUCAUCAAAUCCGCAACAAGCAGCGCACAUCAUUGUGAACAUCUCACAUGCUUCAUUACAAUACACCAGACAGUUUCCAGAAACUGAGUUUGAGAUGGACGAAUCAAGAAAGAAGGGGAUGAGUGACAAUAGAUGCCAACAGAGGCAUAGACGGAGUAGGUUUGUUAUGAAGAUGAAUCAGCCAUGGAUGGGAGGAGCCGCAGCGGAGUGA